rnacentral:rRNA from 1 species
UACGUAGGGUGCAAGCGUUGUCCGGAAUUAUUGGGCGUAAAGAGCUCGUAGGCGGUUCGUCACGUCGGCUGUGAAAUCCCGAGGCUCAACCUCGGAUCGGCCGUGGCGACUCGUGGGCUGGAGCACUGUAGAGGCGGGUGGAAUUCCGGGUGUAGCGGUGGAAUGCGUAGAGAUCCGGAAGAACACCAGUGGCGAAGGCGGCCCGCUGGGCAGUGGCUGACGCUGAAGCGCGACAGCGUGGGGAGCAAACAGG